GAUGAACGCUGGCGGCGUGCUUAACACAUGCAAGUCGAACGAAGCGCUUAAACGGAUUUCUUCGGAAUGAAGUUUUUGCGACUGAGUGGCGGACGGGUGAGUAACGCGUGGGUAACCUGCCUCAUACAGGGGGAUAACAGCUAGAAAUGACUGCUAAUACCGCAUAAGCGCACAGUGCUGCAUGGCACAGUGUGAAAAACUCCGGUGGUAUGAGAUGGACCCGCGUCUGGUUAGCUAGUUGGUGGGGUAACGGCCUACCAAGGCGACGAUGGGUAGCCGGCCUGAGAGGGUGAACGGCCACAUUGGAACUUAGACACGGUCCAA
rnacentral:rRNA from 1 species